UACGUAGGGGGCAAGCGUUGUCCGGAUUUAUUGGGCGUAAAGCGUGUGUAGGCGGCCCGGCAGGUCAGCUGUGAAAACUCGAGGCUCAACCUCGAGACGCCGGUUGAAACCAUCUGGCUAGAGUCCGGAAGAGGAGAGUGGAAUUCCUGGUGUAGCGGUGAAAUGCGCAGAUAUCAGGAAGAACACCCGUGGCUAAGGCGGCUCUCUAGUACGGUACUGACGCUGAGACGCGAAAGCGUGGGGAGCGAACAGG
rnacentral:rRNA from 1 species